GACGAACGCUGGCGGCGUGCUUAACACAUGCAAGUCGAACGGAAGGGCCCUGCUUUUGUGGGGUGCUCGAGUGGCGAACGGGUGAGUAACACGUGAGUAACCUGCCCUUGACUUUGGGAUAACUUCAGGAAACUGGGGCUAAUACCGGAUAGGAGCUCCUGCUGCAUGGUGGGGGUUGGAACGUUUCGGCGGUUGGGGAUGGACUCGCGGCUUAUCAGCUUGUUGGUGGGGUAGUGGCUUACCAAGGCUUUGACGGGUAGCCGGCCUGAGAGGGUGACCGGCCACAUUGGGACUGAGAUACGGCCCAGACUCCUACGGGAGGCAGCAGUGGGGAAUAUUGCACAAUGGGCGGAAGCCUGAUGCAGCAACGCCGCGUGCGGGAUGACGGCCUUCGGGUUGUAAACCGCUUUCGCCUGUGACGAAGCGUGAGUGACGGUAAUGGGUAAAGAAGCACCGGCUAACUACGUG
rnacentral:rRNA from 1 species